AAAUAUGAAGCGAUUAUUUGCAAUUAGUUUCGACCUAAUCUUAGAUGAAUUCAUCCRUAUUUU
rnacentral:tRNA from 1 species